UGUCAGGAAAAAAGGGGGAAUGCUGUCUGAGUGUUGAGAUGUAACAAGAGCUGGUCCUUUUUGCAGUGGGAUGUAACCUGGAAAGUGCACAGAGCUGAGCCAAGGGAUUGAAAGGGACCAAGCAAGGGAGGUGAAGAAAGAAGGAAGAAGGGGAGUGAGGCAGCAGGCAAGCAGCACCAAGUUGCAGUGUAAGCAGGUGAGUUGUGUUGAGGUUCCUAAGGCAGGCACUGAGGACUUUGAGGGCUCCAGACAGAGCAGACCUGGGAAGGCCCUCGGUGAAGCCCCUUGGAAACCUUCUAAGGGUAGGUGUGUAUGGUAAAAAGUGUUGGAAAAUGUCCUGAAUAUGGAAUAGGAAUGCAGGGAAGGAAAAUGAACCCUCAUGUAAUGCUGCCAUAUCAGCUUCAGUGGAGAUAGGUCUGUGUGCCCUUUGGGAGCUGAUUGCCAGGACACCCGUCGUGCUAGGAUUAUGGCAGGGUGUUGUAAGCAAGGAAUGCCUGGCUUCUAAAACUUACCAGCUGACUCCUAGAGGUUUCUUUUAAGAGCUGAUUUCAGGCAGCAAAAUUGGCCCCCCAGGAGGGACUCUGUGCCUGCUCUCCCGUGGCUCCAAGGGAUCUCUGGCCCUUCACGCCGGCACCGAGAUUUUUCUCGGGAAGGGCCUCAGAUCCCCGGACCAGUCUGGGACACAGGCAAGAUCCCCCUGCAUUUUAGGACCAAAUUGGGCCCCCUGGAGGGACAGUGCUGUUGGUGCCCCCUGGGUUGGGGCACCCCGAGGACUCCAGCGCGCACCGAAAGGAUUAUUCGGGGAGAUCCUCGGGGUGCCCGGCCCUGGGGAGCUCAAAGCAAGGUCCCUGCAAUGGAUUCAGGCAUUCCUGAGAGUAGACUGGACUGUGCAGAGAGGGAGCAGUUUGUCCUGUGGAGUUGGGAUGUGUUAGUUCAGGAUGCCUUGGGAGGCAGGGCUGGAGAGGCCCCUCUGUUGGCUGUAGUGGUGGAAGGUUGUAGCAGCAGGGAUGGAGCCUUCGACCUCCUGCUCCCCCCGUGAGCCCCGACGGGACCGUGCCCUUGGCAAUGGAGGGCCCCCCAUUGCUGAGCCAGCGGUUCCGGGGCCAGGAGGGAUGGGAUCAGGAUGCCGAGCUCCGCCCAGGGCCAGGGCUGCCAAUGUUCAACCAUGGAGAGAACUGAAAGCAGAGUGAGAUGGAGGCCAAGCUCCAGCACAAGGAUGGGCGAGAAAAGACCUUGGUCCUCAGGUGGAGCUUUGAAUUCCCUGGAAAAAUGGAUCCUGUCAGAUGGUUCAGGCCCUUGUGGGUGCUGGAGCAGAGGCUUCUUUAAUUUAUGGUCACCCUAAAAAGUUGCAAGGAGAGCAAGUUCUGACUGCAGGAUGAGGUGGGAAGCAAAGUGAAGUGGUCCAGAGAAAAGCUGAGCUUAAACUUGGUCCUGUGCCAGAGCAGCCUCGUGCAGUGCUUGUUGCUGUCCCUGAGUGUCCCAUUGCAGUGGAUAUUCCCAAGGGUGCCUUGUGCUGGGGAACACUGGGGGCAGUUCCCUUUCCCUGGGCAGGGCAGGCAGGGCACGUUUCCCCCCUUGAGGGUGGCUCCACAGUCCCACCCUGUGCCCUGGGAGCGUGGCAGAACACCUGGACCCACUGUCCUUGUCAGAGAGGGCACAAGGGAUGGUUGGAUGGGUGAGGGAAUGGUUCAGGGAGUACAAGCACCAUUAGAGUGAGUAGGGCAGCACAUGGAAAGGAAGGGGGGAGUUAAUCCAGACAAAAUUCAAGCACCUGCCCAACCUGUGAUAUUUUUAGGAACUCAGAGGUGUUGUGGUCCCCCGGAAGUUUUGCCCAGGACUAGGCAGGAGACUUCAGGCUUGGUCACCCCCAGAGCAAGGUGGAAGCCCAGCAGUUUAUUGGUAGGUUUGGCUUUUGGUGACAACAAGGUCCUCCUUUGGGACCAAUCCUUGGCCUGGACCAUAAAGUCCCAGGGCAGAAGUGUGAGUUUGAUUGGGAAAUGAGCAGCAGGGAGGGUUGGAAACAGCUCAGGGAGCAAUUCAACAGGCUCCAGACCUGUGGCCAAUACGAGCCAGAGGGGGGGAACUGAAGGUUCUUGCCAGUGAUAAUGAUGCCAAUUGGAGCCUCUGGCAGAAGUAGGGUAGGAAGGAAGUGCCCUUAGGAUUUGGGAAUAGGAAGUUACUGGAAGCCAG